rnacentral:hammerhead_ribozyme from 1 species
AUUCAGUUGACGAGUCUCAAACAGGACAAAACACACGUCCUGGAU